rnacentral:rRNA from 1 species
UGCAGAAUCCCGUGAACCAUCGAGUCUUUGAACGCAAGUUGCGCCCGAAGCCACUAGGCCGAGGGCACGCCUGCCUGGGUGUC